ensembl:lncRNA
GGUCCCUAUUUGUCUAUACUGGUUUCUACUGGUCCAUACUGGUCCAUACUGGUCUAUACUGGUCCAUACUGGUGUGGGAAGGGGUUGGACAAUGGGCUCUCCUGGGGUCUUCUAUUGGUUCCUAUGGGUCUCUAUUGACAACUAUGGGUCCCUAUUGGUCCAUACUGGUUUCUACUGGUCCUUACUGGUCCAUACUGGUCUAUACUGGUCCAUACUGGUCCAUACUGGUCUAUACUGGUCUAUACUGGUGUUUGAUAGGGGUGCAACAAUGGGCUCUCCUGGGAUCUUCUAUUGGUUCCUAUGGCUCUCUAUGGACCCCUAUGGGUCCCUAUUGGUCUAUACUGGUUUCUACUGGUCCUUACUGGUCCAUACUGGUCUAUACUGGUCCAUACUGGUCCAUACUGGUCUAUACUGGUGUGGGAAGGGGUUGGACAAUGGGUUCUCCUGGGAUCUUCUAUUGGUUCCUAUGGCUCUCUAUUGACCCCUAUGGGUCUCUAUUGGUCUAUACUGGUUUCUACUGGUCCAUACUGGUUUCUACUGGUCUAUACUGGUCUAUACUGGUCUAUACUGGUCCAUACUGGUCCAUACUGGUG